CUAAAACUGCAGGACAAUUGAGAAAACUGCUAGUUAAUCGGUUCGCUAAGUAACUGAUAAAUGGAAGCAAAGGUUCAUGGAAUAGCAAAUUGUGAGUUGUAAAACAAAACAACAGCCUGCUGGAUGAAAUAUAGAAAUACAAUAUGAGCAUAGGAAAUUGGCUAGAACAACAAGAAGAGUCUAAAGUUGAAAGUUGUGGCUACAUUGUUUCCCUUUGUCAAUCACAGAAGCUCAUAUCAUCCCAUGGCAACCAGCGGAAUCCAGCAGUACUGCUUUGAUUUGAUCAGGAUGAAAGUCUUGACCUUCUUUGCAUUGCUCAGCUCUAAAGAUAUCUAAGGCAAAUCCAUUGAAGCAGCUGAUAACAGCUUGUUGGAUGUCCAGUCCGAGGUUGUCGAGUGCCCUCAUUGUUGAGAGUAAGAGGCCUGGUCUGCGGCUGCAAAACAUAUGGAUAUUCACAGCUCUUCCUUCUCUUGCCUUUACUUCAACCCUUGCAGGUUGUCCAGUCGGGCUAGACAGUGGGCUUGCAAAUGAACUCGGAUAGAGUUCUUCCUUGAUGCGGCCUGGCAGAGCUGGUCCAGUUGGUGUUAGAGGAUAGAAGCUUGUUGUUUGGGUCAGUGAAGAGCUAGGUGGCGUGGACUCCAGUUCAUUAUGCAGGUCAUUGAUUUUCUGUAAAAGCUCCUUUAAGUACUCAAUUGCAUCCCCUAAGAUUGAAGCCCUGUCCAUCUUGCUAAUCCUUGGUACAACAGACCUCAACAUGUAAAGCCUAUCGUUUAGCUUCUUCCUACGUCGUCGUUCAGCCAUCAAAUUCUUAGCCGGAAGUCCCUUUUUCUUUCCUUUCUGAUUCCCACAGGUGACAGUGCUAGUUGCAUUUGAGCUAUUUCCACCAUUCUUAACAGUAUCAUCCACCUUAUUAGUAACAUUUUCAGUAAGGUCAUCUGAAUCAUAACUCAAUGUGCACCCAUCAAAGCUCACAUCAUCAAGUUCUUCCCCACUACCCCACUUUCUCUUCCUUUCAUUCUCUCCAUUCAUGGAAUUCUGGCCAAUUUCACCUCCGAAAUCCCCCAAACUGCCACCAGUAGUAUUAGCUAAGUUCUUCCUAAGAGCAGCCCUUUUCUGAAAAAGGGUUGGUUGUGCUCCAUUUGAAGCAAAAUUAUCAAGUGGCUUUAACAACUUGGACCUAUUGAGAAACAGAGAGUUCUCAUUUGCAGAACCAUCAACAAACCCUAGUGGACUAAACCCAGUAGUAGUAGUAUUUUGGGGCAAAUGGGAUGAUGGGUAUUGAGUAAAUGAAUUCAAAUUGGGGUUACCCAUUUGGUUCUGUGAGCUCAAAUCAUGAAACCCACCACCAGCAAGAAGAAAUCCCCCUUUAUUCAAACCACCCAUACCUUGAGCUUCAAGAAAACCAUUUUCACAACCCAAAUUAAAACUAUAAUCCAAAGGGUUGUUGUUAAUAGCCUUUUGGGCUAACAAGUAAUGUACCUGAGAUGGGUCUAGAUUGUUGAAAACAGAGGAGUUUGGUGAGCAAGAAGAGGAGGAAU
rnacentral:misc_RNA from 1 species